rnacentral:rRNA from 1 species
AAGUCGUAACAAGGUUUCCGUAGGUGAACCUGCGGAAGGAUCACUAUCGAAAUAAACCUGAGCAGGCUGUUUUGCUGGUCCUCUCAAGGGACAUUGUGCACGCUUGUCGUCUUUAUUUUUCCAACCGUGCACAUAUUGUAGACCUGGAGUUUUUUCUUAUCGUUCGAAUAGAUUGAGGACUGCCGUCUCGUCUCGGCUUUGCCUUGUAUUUUCCAGGUCUAUGUUGCAAACACAUUUUCACAACGUGUCUCAGAAUGUUGAGUACUGGGGAUAACAAAUAUACAACUUUCAGCAACGGAUCUCUUGGCUCUCGCAUCGAUGAAGAACGCAGCGAAAUGCGAUAAGUGAUGUGAAUUGCAGAAUUCAGUGAAUCAUUGAAUCUUUGAACGCAUCUUGCGCUCCUUGGUAUUCCGAGGAGCAUGCCUGUUUGAGUGUCAUCAAAAGUUCUCAACCACACCGGUUCCUCUGGCGUGGCUUGGAUUUGGGGGUUUGCAGGCUUCAAGUCGGCUCUCCUGAAAAAGAUUAGCGGUAUCCGAGCAGAAACCAAACCUCUGGCGUGAUAAUUAUCUAUGCCUUGGUGUAUAAUCUGUGUGGGCUGCUCAUAACCUAGCGUUGACAGAUUUGACCUCAAAUCAGGUAGGACUACCCGCUGAACUUAAGCAUAUCAAUAAGCGGAGGAAAAGAAACUAACAAGGAUUCCCCUAGUAACUGCGAGUGAAGCGGGAAAAGCUCAAAUUUAAAAUCUGGCGGUUCUUGACCGUCCGAGUUGUAAUCUAGAGAAGUGUUACCUGUGCUGGACCAUGUACAAGUCUCCUGGAAUGGAGCAUCAUAGAGGGUGAGAAUCCCGUCUUUGACAUGGACUGCCUGCACGUUGUGGUGCGCUCUCGAAGAGUCGAGUUGUUUGGGAAUGCAGCUCAAAAUGGGUGGUAAAUGCCAUCUAAAGCUAAAUAUUGGCGAGAGACCGAUAGCGAACAAGUACCGUGAGGGAAAGAUGAAAAGAACUUUGGAAAGAGAGUUAAACAGUACGUGAAAUUGCUGAAAGGGAAACGCUUGAAGUCAGUCGCGUUGGCUAGAAAUCAGCCUUGCUUUUGCUUGGUGUACUUUCUUGUCGACGGGUCAGCAUCAGUUUUGAUCACUGGAUAAGGAUUUUGGGAAUGUGGCAUCUUUGGAUGUGUUAUAGCCCAUUGUCGCAUACGGUGGUCAGGAUUGAGGAACUCAGCACGCCGCAAGGCCGGAUCUUCUGAUCACGUUCGUGCUUAGGAUGCUGGCAUAAUGGCUUUAAUCGAC